rnacentral:rRNA from 1 species
AUGGCGAGCAGCCUCCUCCCCGUCGUGGCGCUCCUCGCGCUGCUCUUCGGCGCGUCGCGCGCCGCCGACUUCGAGGUCGGCGGGGACGCCGGGUGGGUCGUGCCGGCGGCCGGCGACUCCAGCACGUACAACGACUGGGCAUCCAAGAACCGCUUCCUCGUCGGCGACAGCGUCCAUUUCAAGUACAAGGCGGACUCGGUGAUGGAGGUGACGCAGGAGGAGUACGACAAGUGCGGGUCGACGCACCCCAUCUUCUUCUCCAACAACGGCGACACCGAGGUGCGCCUGGACCGCCCGGGCCCCUUCUACUUCGUCAGCGGCGUCACGGGCCACUGCGAGCGCGGCCAGAAGAUGGUCGUCAAGGUCAUCGGCCAGAACGAGCCCCCGCCGGCGCCGCCCGCGCCCCCCAGCGGCGCCGCGCCGGCCGGCAUCGGAUCCGCCGGCGCCAUGGUCGCUGCGGCCCUUUUGCCUGCUCUCGUUGUGCUCGGUGUCUGA